rnacentral:rRNA from 1 species
GAUGAACGCUAGUGAUAGGCUUAACACAUGCAAGUCGAGGGGCAGCAUAGGUGUAGUUUACUACAUUUGAUGGCGACCGGCGGAUGGGUGAGUAACGCGUAUGCAACCUACCCUCUACAGGGGGAUAGCCCGUUGAAAGACGGAUUAAUACCGCAUAAUAACUAAGAUCUGCAUGGAUUUUAGUUUAAAAAUUUAUUGGUAGAGGAUGGGCAUGCGUUUCAUUAGCUAGUUGG